AGACACUUCCCUUUCCUGAACUUCUGUAAAUGCAAAUUUUCCUUCCUUCCUUCCACGAUGCUGGCAACCAACCCGUGUGUAGUGAGCAGUGACCACAUCCAGUCAUGGCGCCAGGCACGCUGGGCAUUCACUGAAAUCUUAAGGAGAAAAAAGAAGAAGGAGGAGAAGAAGAAAUCAUCCUGGUCAGAAGAUUUUAAUGUCAUAGAGACAACCUACAAUUCUUCUGGAUAUAUUGUUCAGGAAUGGAAGCAAAAUAAAGUCAUUCUUAGAGGAAGGAACAAGGGGAGGAUUUGUUGCCAGCAGCUCUGCUGUACAAGAAAUGAUAAGGGUCCUGUUGGUAUGGUGGGGGGGGCAACACUGCUCCAAAACAUCACCUUGCCCAGACGUGACCCAGGCCGCGGAGCUGUUGAUGAGCACGGAGGAGAGGCAUCAUUGUGACACGGUAGGGAUGUAGGUUGUCCUCUGAACCUGUUCAUGGGCCCAGGCCUACCACUUACUCAACGGUGGAUGGCGAACUUAUGACUGAGUGGAAGAGACCAUACCUAGCUCAUCGUGGAUGGUUCCGGUUGCAUACAUGCUCAUGUCUCUUGUCACUCCGUUUCUGUUGGGACCAGUGGCACUUCAGGGGCAGCUUUUUAAGUGGUACCUAACUCUGUCGUGCAGGUGAUGUGAUGACAUGAGCCCAAAGCCCAUUGAGGCUCAGCAGAGGGGUCACACAGCAUCCCAACACACACGCCUACUGCUAGCAGCAUGAUCUGGUAGGUCACGGCCAUGGCCAUAGGGUCCUGAUGGAUAGAAAAAAGUUAUGCUUGGGGCGCCUGGGUGGCUCAGUCAGUUGAGCAGCUGACUCUUGUUUGAGGCUCAGGUCAUGAUCUCAGAGUCGUGAGAUCGAGCGGCACGUGAGGCAAUGUGCUUCGUGAAGAGUCCGCUUAGGAUUCUCUCUCCCUCUUCCCCUGACCAUCCUCUGACUCUCUCUCUCUCUCUCUCUCUCUCUCAAAAAGAAUUGUUGUGAUUACAUGAUAUUGUAGUCUAUUAUUAAGCGUGCAAUAAUAUGUCUAAAAAGACAAUGUACACACCUUAAUUUUAAAAAUACUUUAUUGCUGGGGCGCCUGGGUGGCACAGCAGUUAAGCAUCUGCCUUCGGCUCAGGGCGUGA